UACGAAGGGGGCUAGCGUUGCUCGGAAUCACUGGGCGUAAAGGGUGCGUAGGCGGGUCUUUAAGUCAGAGGUGAAAUCCUGGAGCUCAACUCCAGAACUGCCUUUGAUACUGAGGGUCUUGAGUAUGACAGAGGUGAGUGGAACUGCGAGUGUAGAGGUGAAAUUCGUAGAUAUUCGCAAGAACACCAGUGGCGAAGGCGGCUCACUGGGUCAUUACGUGACGCUGAGGCACGGAAAGCGUGGGGAAGCAAACAGGG
rnacentral:rRNA from 1 species